rnacentral:rRNA from 1 species
GAUGAACGCUAGCUACAGGCUUAACACAUGCAAGUCGAGGGACCGGCGCACGGGUGAGUCACGCGUAUCCAACCUACACAAUACUAAGGAAUAACCCGUUGAAAGACGUACUAAUUCCUGAGGGUAUUGGAUGGGGAUGCGUCUGAUUAGUUUGUUGGUGAGGUAACGGCCCACAAAGACUUCGAUCAGUAGGGGUUCUGAGAGGAAGGUCCCCCACAUUGGACAUGAGACACGGUCCAAACUGCUACGGGAGGCAGCAGUGAGGAAUAUUGGUCAAUGGAUGCAAAUCUGAACCAGCCAAGUAUCGUGCAGGAUGACGGCCUAUGGGUUUUAAACUGCUUUUCUGUGAGAAUAUGUUUCACAUGAAUAGGACCGGCUAAUUCCGUGCCAGCCGCCGCGGUAAUAC